rnacentral:rRNA from 1 species
UACGGAGGGGGCUAGCGUUGUUCGGAAUUACUGGGCGUAAAGCGCGCGUAGGCGGCUUUGUAAGUUAGAGGUGAAAGCCCGGGGCUCAACUCCGGAAUUGCCUUUAAGACUGCAUCGCUAGAAUCGUGGAGAGGUAAGUGGAAUUCCGAGUGUAGAGGUGAAAUUCGUAGAUAUUCGCAAGAACACCAGUGGCGAAGGCGGCUCACUGGCCCGGUACUGACGCUGAGGCACGAAAGCGUGGGGAGCAAACAGG